CCUACGGGCGGCAGCAGUGGGGAAUAUUGGACAAUGGGGGGAACCCUGAUCCAGCGACGCCGCGUGAGUGAAGAAGUAUUUCGGUAUGUAAAGCUCUUUCAGAAGGGAAGAAAACGACGGUACCUCACUAAGAAUCCCCGACUAACUACGUCCCAGCAGCCGCGGUAAUACUUAGGGGGCAAGCGUUAUCAGGAUUUACUGGGUGUAAAGGGAGCGUAGGCGGUGCAGCAAGUCUGAUGUGAAAGGUAGGGGCCCAACCCCGGGACUGCAUUGGAAACUGUUGAACUGGAGUACUGGAGAGGUAAGCGGAAUUCCUGGUGUAGCGGUGGAAUGCGUAGAUAUUGGGAGGAACACCAGUGGCGAAGGCGGAUUGCUGGACAGUAACUGACGCUGAGGCGCGAAAGCGUGGGGAGCAAACAGGAGUAGAUACCCCAGUAGUC
rnacentral:rRNA from 1 species